rnacentral:rRNA from 1 species
GAUGAACGCUGGCGGCGUGCCUAAUACAUGCAAGUCGAGCGAACAGACGAGGAGCUUGCUCCUCUGACGUUAGCGGCGGACGGGUGAGUAACAUGUGGAUAACCUACCUAUAAGACUGGGAUAACUUCGGGAAACCGGAGCUAAUACCGGAUAAUAUAUUGAACCGCAUGGUUCAAUAGUGAAAGACGGUUUUGCUGUCACUUAUAGAUGGAUCCGCGCCGCAUUAGCUAGUUGGUAAGGUAACGGCUCACCAAGGCAACGAUGCGUAGCCGACCUGAGAGGGUGAUCGGCCACACUGGAACUGAGACACGGUCCAGACUCCUACGGGAGGCAGCAGUAGGGAAUCUUCCGCAAUGGGCGAAAGCCUGACGGAGCAACGCCGCGUGAGUGAUGAAGGUCUUCGGAUCGUAAAACUCUGUUAUUAGGGAAGAACAAAUGUGUAAGUAACUAUGCACGUCUUGACGGUACCUAAUCAGAAAGCCACGGCUAACUACGUG